rnacentral:misc_RNA from 1 species
CAAAAUGACGCACCUCCAAGAUAUGGAGGCAGCAGAACCUGCUGAGUUGCUGCUGUUGCAGGAUUGUAACGGAAAGGUGCAGAUGAAUAACCAUUCUGGGGAAGCAAGAAAUGCAGGGCUGGAUGUUUCUGUGAGGUUACAGGUGUAUCAAGGUUAUGACCAGCAAUAGUAGCACCACCAUUAGUGCCUUUGAUCACAUAACUUCCAGCUGACAAUGAAAGGAAAUCUGCAUUCUGCUUUGCUAAAGAAUUGAACCCAGAUGUAGUAGAAGCCUGUUGCUGAUCUUGGAGGAGUCUUUGGUGCAAAAGGAUUGCAUUUCUAACUUCAGUUGGAUUCUUCUCAACAGUAGAGGCAACAUUCCCAGUAGAAACAAUUCCAUGCAUAUCAUUCACCUUUACAGUUGGG